rnacentral:rRNA from 1 species
UACGUAGGGUGCAAGCGUUAAUCGGAAUUACUGGGCGUAAAGCGUGCGCAGGCGGUUGUGCAAGACAGAUGUGAAAUCCCCGGGCUUAACCUGGGAACUGCAUUUGUGACUGCAUAGCUGGAGUGCGGCAGAGGGGGAUGGAAUUCCGCGUGUAGCAGUGAAAUGCGUAGAUAUGCGGAGGAACACCGAUGGCGAAGGCAAUCCCCUGGGCCUGCACUGACGCUGAGACGUGAAAGCGUGGGGAGCGAACAGG